UCCUCCCUCAAACCUCCGGGUUUGGUGUUGGACCGCGUUGGAUCGUCCGCGACCAACUGGUCUCAAAGACAAUGACGGCGUCCGUGGGACCCUCUUCGCACUGAGCUUUCCGGAGCACGCGUCGAGUUUCAAGGUGUCACGGGCCCGGCCACCUCUAAAUCUAUUUUUUCA
rnacentral:misc_RNA from 2 species